AGUGAACGCUGGCGGUAGGCCUAACACAUGCAAGUCGAACGGCAGCACAGUAAGAGCUUGCUCUUACGGGUGGCGAGUGGCGGACGGGCGAGGAAUACAUCGGAAUCUACUUUUUCGUGGGGGAUAACGUAGGGAAACUUACGCUAAUACCGCAUACGACCUACGGGUGAAAGCAGGGGAUCUUCGGACCUUGCGCGAUUGAAUGAGCCGAUGUCGGAUUAGCUAGUUGGCGGGGUAAAGGCCCACCAAGGCGACGAUCCGUAGCUGGUCUGAGAGGAUGAUCAGCCACACUGGAACUGAGACACGGUCCAGACUCCUACGGGAGGCAGCAGUGGGGAAUAUUGGACAAUGGGCGCAAGCCUGAUCCAGCCAUACCGCGUGGGUGAAGAAGGCCUUCGGGUUGUAAAGCCCUUUUGUUGGGAAAGAAAAGCAGCAGGUUAAUACCCCGCUGUUCUGACGGUACCCAAAGAAUAAGCACCGGCUAACUCCGUG
rnacentral:rRNA from 1 species